rnacentral:rRNA from 1 species
UGACGGCGGCGGCUACACAUCCAGUCUNACGGUAACAGAGAGUAGCUUGCUACUUUGCUGACGAGCGGCGGACGGGUGAGUAAUGCUUGGGAAUAUGCCUUUUGGUGGGGGACAACAGUUGGAAACGAGCUGCUAAUACCGCAUGAUGUCUACGGACCAAAGUGGGGGACCUUCGGGCCUCACGCCAAAAGAUUAGCCCAAGUGGGAUUAGCUAGUUGGUAAGGUAAUGGCUUACCAAGGGCAACGAUCCCUAGCUGGUUUGAGAGGAUGAUCAGCCACACUGGUGACUGAGACACGGCCCAGACUCCUACGGGAGGCAGCAGUGGGGAAUAUUGCACAAUGGGCGCAAGCCUGAUGCAGCCAUGCCGCGUGUGUGAAGAAGGCCAUUCGGGUUGUAAAGCACUUUCAGCUCAGGAGGAAAGGGUCGUGUUUAAUAGAGCAUAUCUGUGACGUUACUGACAGAAGAAGCACCGGCUAACUCCGUGCCAGCAGCCGCGGUAAUACGGAGGGUGCGAGCGUUAAUCGGAAUUACUGGGCGUAAAGCGUACGCAGGCGGUUUGUUCACAGCGAGAUGUGAAAGCCCCGGGCUCAACUGGGAACUGCAUUUCGAACUUGGACAAACUAGAGUGUGAUAGAAGGGGGUGGUAAGAAUUUUCCAAGGGUUGUAGCGGGUGCAAAUGCCGUAGAGAUCUUGAAGGGAAUACCGAUGGCGAAAGGCAGCCACCUGGGUCCACACUGACGGCUCANNUACAAAGCGUGGGGAGCACAACACGGAUUUAUNCCCUGGUUAUUCCCACCCGUAACNAUNUUUACUAAACUCGGAC